UUUGUAUUUUUUUCAUAGCUCCCAUGGUUACCGACAUAAUCUGCAAUAAUAAUACUGUUGUAUUUAGGAAUAAGAAAGGAAGGGAUGAUAGAUAAAUAAGGAAGGGAGGAGUGAUGUCAUAUUUGGUAGUGGGAUGAUGAAAAUUUACGCUGAAAAAUUAAUCAAACAGCGUUUCAACUCUGUGUGAAUAUGUGUGUAUAUAAAAGGGGAUGUAUGAGUGUGUGU